UCGUUAACAUCUUGAUUAGCCAGGAACUGGGCGGGUGUGGGGGGAGAGAUCCCCAGAAGAGAAGGACACCUUUGGAAGCAAAAGGUGGAUUCAUUUUAUUUUACUGGCAAGGAAAAGCUGCAGGAGGAGGGCAGAGACAGAAUAUCCCAGGGGCAGGAGUUCCUGGGUCCCUUCAUCAGAAAGCAGGAGACCCAGCCAUGGGUCGACAGGAGAAGAAUCACAGGGAGGCGAAUAAGCGGAGCCUGCAAAAGGAAAGAGCAAGAGCAAGGCAAAGCCGACAGAAACCACGUCCCUAAGCGACACCGGCUGGUCUUCACAGACAUCCAGCGCCGCACGCUUCACGCCAUCUUCCACGAGAACCAGCGGCCUUCCAAGGACCUGCAGGUCACCAUCGCCCAGCAGCUGGGCCUGGAGCUCUCCACCGUCAGUAACUUCUUCAUGAAUGCACGGCGCCGCAGCCUGGACAAGUGGAUGGAAGAGGGGCGCCCCCAAUCCUCGGGCACCCACACCUCCUCCGCCGUCACUUGCACCAAAGCAUGAGGGGAAGCCAGGGUGCUGGACGGGGGCACUGCGCCAGGCUGGUGUUGAUUGGGUGGGGUUUGAUGGGGUGGGUUGUUUUUAAUUUAUCCUCUUCGGUGGUUUCUUUCCCCUUCCCCUGCCUGAGUUUUUUUUCAACUGUUUCAACAGAACCCACAUGGCCCAGAUCCUCAGCUAACAUGAAUUAGCUCCUUUGCAUUGAGUGGAGGCUGGCUGAUUUACCCCAGCUGGGGAUCUGGCCCCAAUGGAGCGAUGCUGAUUUACCCCAGCUGUGGAUCGGAGCUUAAAUAAUCACAGGCAAGAUCCUCAGCUGGGGUAAAUAGGGCCAUGCUGAUUGGCACUUGCUGGGGAGCUGGGCCCCCCCCCCCCCCCCGGUUCCCCUAGAAGGCAGGGGAAGCCCAUGGCUGAAGAUUUGGGUGCCUGGGGGAGGUCGUGGCUCUUUAAAAAGCAUUUGUUUCCUCUUGAUGAUUGAGCCUGUGGUUGUUUCCUUUUUUUGGAAGGUGGUGCUGCCCAGAGGGCCCUGGGAAAUCCACCCCCAACUCCUGGGGUCAGUUGCACAUAAGGAAGGAUCUGACCUAGAAAACCCUGCCCCGGAUUCUGCAUGAACGCAUCAGACCCGGCCGAGACUCUGCUGGCUCCAUCUCCCCUUUGCUGUCUGAAAGCUGUCCCCAACGCAAACCGGAGCGACACCUCCCAGGAGUCUGGAUCCCACUGCCUGCCCAGCCGCUCCUCACCCGAAUUUGUCCCAUGUGUGUUGUGCGAAUCUAUUGUUUUGUCAAACUGUGGCAAAUUUCUACCUCACUUUGUCUCUUGCACCAAAGAUACCAAAGAUUUUGCAAGGAGUCUCCGUGUGGGUGCCUAUGUGGGCCUGCAGGCGUCUGUCAAUAGCUAUAUUUAUAGAUAUAUAUUUUUUGCAUGGCUUGUCUCUUGAAGUGCUCUAUGGUGUCGGACUGUCAUCCUGCAGAGCUAGUGAUGUGACCUAGAUGCAUCAUCUGUCCUAACCCAGACAACAAUUCUUUGACAUUCCCCAUGGUCCCCUGCUCUCUGGAUGUUAUCAAUAUAAUGCACUUUAGUGAGACACCUGUAACAGUGAUUAGGUUCCAGCCGUGGCCAAACAAGGGACAGACCGUUGCUGUUCUGCUAAGGAGUGACUCUCUGUAAAAGCAGGAUGGUGGGGCCAGAUUUGUAUUUAUUGUGGCUCCGGAUUGGUUUACAAGGCUGUUGUGCAAAAAGAUCCAAAGAUUAUUUUUUGGCUCGUUCCCGCCCCCCCCUUAACUAAGCAAGAAACGUCCUCGGGGCAAAGAUGUUUCCCCACAAGCUAUCAGUGCUGCAAACUUCUGCUGGGCUCUGAGAAUCAAACUGGGUUCACUUUGAAUUGGGAAUUAUCCCCAGUAACAAAACCUCUGCCUGCUAAAAAUCCUGCUCUGGGCAGCUCUGCUGUCUCCAUUGCAUAGCAUGCCUCCAUGUCAUUCCAGCCGGUGCACGCUUCCCUGGCUGCACAAGCACCUAGGACCUUUGCUGGCUCCUACAUCUGUUGGGGAGAUUUUCAAUGGGAACCUAGGAAAUAACUGUAUUCAUGAGGCCCAAGCCAGGCUAGAACCUGGCUUCGUCCCCCACAGCCUGCAGGGCAAUUGGGAGCAUUAAAAACACCCCUUUGCCCCUCAGUUCAGCAGCUAUGAGCCUGAAUACACCCAGGGAGCAGAGCUACUGAGCAGAAACGCAACACUUUCUUGCAGUUGCUCUGACUCCCCUGGGGACAGCCUCUCAACCUUCCCUUCAGAGCAAGGGGCAAACCUCAGACGGCUGGGUCCGGAUCAGCGUCCCAGAGUCCUGGGACAGACCCAAACCCUCUGCUCUUCCUGUGUAUGAAAUCCAGGCCCCUUUGGGAGGUUUCUCAGGGGACUCUGUCUCCAUUUUAGGUGAGAAAUACGGCAGGAGCCUUCCUAGUGUAGCGGUGUCCCUGGGUGGGUCACGAGCGAAUGCAGAACCGCUGGAUCUAAAAGCCUGAGCUGCCCCUACCUGAAUUAGAGAAUGAAGGGUGAAAUCUUGAAAUCAAUGGGAGUUUUGCUAAUGACUUUAUUGGGGCCAGGAUUUUGCCCCAGAUCUGUUGGCUCAGAGAGACUAGUGGGCUGCUGAAACUCUAUACGCGGACUGGCCACUGGGGCUGGGGCAGGGAGCUCCCGUUGGCUUGGGUUACACAAGCCCUUGUGGGUGCUUCCAUGUGGAACCAGAUGAGACAGCUGUCACCACCAACACAGACCAUCCCCCGGGAGCAGGAAACAAUCCAGCACUUUGAAAUGGUUCUGCUCAAGGGCUUUGAUUGAGUUUCAGGCAGGGCUUUAUUCUGCCCGAGCUACUUCACCACAAGCCGGGAAGGUCAAGACAGGGAUCCCCAAGGAUCAGAGCUGUUUGGGUCCAGGUUCCCGCUCUCUUUAGUAUCCUGAUUUCCCUCUGGCCCUUUGACUCUCUAGUGGGGACUCUCAAAGGAGCUUUGAGGCAUCGCAUUGAAUGGCAGUGCGAGCUGAAUGCCUAACUCCCUUAGACUCCACUGGAAAUCCCAGUCUCUCUCCAGUAAUCCCAGUUGCUGGGAAAUGCUGGUGAUUCUAAGGACACGAACCUUGCCCACUCCCCACUGGUGUCUCUCAAGCAGCGGCCUUGUCUGCCACUUGGGAGGCUAAAGGGCAUCUCUUUUAACUUCCAGGUUUACACUGGAACUGGCAACAUCAAAGAGAGAAAGAAAAGACCUGGACAAUUCACCCCCCAGGGCACAAAAAUGGGAUUCUGAACCCAUCCGUCCCUAAACUUGUGAUGAUAGAUACCAUCAUCCCAAGACCACCUACCUGCUGACUAUACCUCUAUGCCCUGCCUUUUGGUCUUGGUCAGGGGUAUUGUUUCCCCUACACAGGACUCUGCUGGUGGGAGCAUGGGGAUAAAGGGAAAAAGCUGUGGAGGCUCCUCGGUGGAAGCUCUUUGGGCCCUCUUGUGCGUCAGGCAUGGUAAGAUUCUCACCCACUACUGCAGUCCAGCUCUGAGAGGUGCCUCUGCCAGCCAGCCCCCAGCACAUCCCUGCUGCAGAACUGGCAGAAGCCA